rnacentral:rRNA from 1 species
UACAGAGGGGGCGGGCGGUAAUCGGCCUUACUGGGCGUAAAGCGCACGUAGGUGGCGACGUAAGUCGGGUGUGAAAGCCCCGGGCUCAACCUGGGAAUUGCAUUCGAGACUGCAUUGCUGGAGUACGGAAGAGGAGGGCGGAAUUCCCGGUGUAGCGGUGAAAUGCGUAGAUAUCGGGAGGAACAUCAGUGGCGAAGGCGGCCCUCUGGUCCAGUACUGACACUCAAGUGCCAAAGCGUGGGGAGCAAACAGU